rnacentral:lncRNA from 1 species
CUCCUUGCUUCUCCUCCUAACAUCGUCCCCAACUCUCGACCUCCUCCGGCCAAGUCCUCCAACCCUAACAUUCUCGUCGGCCUCACCAUAUUCCUUGUCGUCGCGGCCUUCUCUCUGUUGGCGAACUACGAGGCCGCCAAGGGCUUUCAGAUCGUCGUCGUCAAUGCCGCCUUGCACACCCACGCAGGCCGGCGCUUCGACCUCCUGUUCGUCUCCAACGACCGCGCCACCAGACUCGUCGUCGCCUCCAGCAAUCUUGUGCAGCGCAUCCUUUACCCGGACGAUUCGUUUCCCAGGAAGCCGGUGGACCGCGUGACACUUUACAUGGCCGGCGAAGACCUCGACAGCACGGUUGCAGUCCGCGGAGGACGCAGCGCGGGCGAGUUCGUCGUCCGGAUGAGCCCGGCCGUGAUGGAGGCGGCCGACGUCAAAGCGGCCGUGGCUGAGGCGGUGCAACGGGGCAUGGCGCGGGUCUGGCUAUGGGAUGGGCGAGGCGAGGCCCCGAGAUCGCUUCUUGACGCCAUGGCAGAGUGGGUUGCCAUGUCCUCCGGCAUGGCAUCUCCUUCCAUCAGGCCCCGCAACACCAGCGUAUCACCGUUCAAUGCUUCGUGCUGGGAGGACGACGACCACGUACGCCUGGCGAGCUUCUUGAAUUACUGCGACGCGAAGCACCAUGGAUUUGUAGCGCGCUUGAACAGAGCCAUGCAGGAUGAGUGGACCGAAGACACGUUCAACGUUACAUUGGGCUCAUCAGUUCCACAAAUCUGCUCCGCCUAUCUCUCGGCAGAACAAAUAUCUAGUAAGUAAACCUAAUGCUUCUUCUGAUGUAAGAGCUAAUAAGCUUACUAGUGUGCCACCUUUUACGUAGUAUGUACAUCAUCUCAACGAAUAACGAAGCCAUUCUAUCAACAGAUACACACAUACACAGAAAUGGCUUCCCACAGCACGUACUUUCAAUUUGCAUUAGUAAGUUCACAAUGACUCAGUAAGUUACGAACGCAUCAGCAGUCCUUUCCGAUUGAAUGCCUCACUGAUAGGACGUCCAGUUUUGUGAUAGAAUUCAUUGCUGAAUGAACAAUCGGUGCGUAACUCCGUCAUGUGAUUAUUGUACUGUAUGUGUCAGUAUAGCAUCUUCUCGCGCAGUUAAUGGGUUUUGUUGAGGCGUCGUCGUCGUCUGCCCACAAAGGUUUUGUAUCCAUCUCGUAGGUUGCUCGGGAGCCAUCCAUGGCACAUCAAGAACCAUGGUGGGCCUCGGAGCUUUGGGUGCUUCCAUUUGGAUAUGUGGCAUCUCAGUUGUCUCUCUCGUCCUCGCCGGGGUGAACAUCGAGAAGGCAAGGGUACGAACUGUGUGGUCUGAGCUUGAAAGCUUGAAAGUUUGUGAGCAUAUUUUCCUUGGGAUUCUGAUAGCGAGUUUUCUCACCGGAGAAGAAUGAGUUGUAGAUCUAAUGCGGCCUUCUUGAUUCGAAGUGGGAAAGGGGCAUCUGCAAUUAUCAGCAUCAGACAAAAGCAUUUGGCAUGACUAACUCCAACUUGUCAGUGAUGUUUUUGCUGCCUUCGGUUCUUCCAAACCUUCUAGGAUUUAAUUAUUAAGAGGACAGCGAGGAUUGAGAUAUUUCAGUACUUGGAGCAUAUGAUUUGGGAUCACCAAAGGGCGACGACAGCUACUCAUUAUUGGGGUUGGCGACGAAUACAAAUACUUUUAGCAGUCCAAAGUUUCCAAUAAAUCUUUAUUGCGUACUCUAAAGAAUGAAAGUAAGACAUUUCUCAAAAAAAUGUUAGGGUGGGAGAAAAAAAAUUCAAAUUUUAUGUAAAUUUAUUUUAUAUACUUAUAUAAGGAUAUUUUACCUAAAAACUACCGUCCUAAUUAGUUUUCACCUAAUGUGUUUUUUUUAUUAAUUUAACGAAAAUAUCUCUCUACCUUCCACUCCGACCAUCGUUGUCGUGGCCUCCUCUUUUUCUACUCCUCCUUUUCUUAUAUCAUCCAUCCUUUUAUAUUGUUUUUGUUUAACAUUAUCCAUUUUUACUGCUGUAUCGUAGCAACGACUACACUUUCACGAAUGUAUAAAAGGUAAUGUCUAUUCUUUAUCACAGUAUUUCAUUCAUCAUUAUUAGCAUUCUCUUUGUUCACCUAUGCUUAGCUCGCAUUACAUAAACGAUCGAAGGAGGGGGGAGAGUAUUGUUGCUCAUCGAUGACAUUAUAUAAAGAUUGACAUGGAAGGACGAACAAUGUUUACCACUUACACGAUCAAAGAUUUCUAACAAAGAAAAAAGAUAUAUUUUUAUUAAAAUAAAUUAAAAAAAUCAUAAUUAGGAGGCAUCAUAUGAUGAAAGUUCAGUCUCUCUCUCUCUCUCUCUCUCUCUCUCUCUCUAUAUAUAUAUAUAUAUAUAUAUAUAUAUAUUUGUGUAAAAUGCCGUAAAGAAAAGAAAGACCAUGUGGUUCGCACGGACGUACAUAAGUCACCUGGGUAUGCCUUUUUGGGCAGGUAUCAGGUAUCAUAUUGCGCCCAACCCUAGAAAUCGGAGGCGGAGGAAUCGAGCCGAUCUGUUAAUUCGCACCCCGGAAAUCCACAUGAACCCACAAAAUUAACCCCCCAAGCCCAAACCCUAAUCCGCCCCCUGCUGCUUCGUCCUCCUCGCACAGCAGAUUCAGAUUUGGGUUGGGUUAGGAUCUAUUGAUUGGGUUGUAAAUGACCUCCGCGCCCCAACAGUUGGAGGCCUCUGCCUCUCGGUCUCCUCGGCCACAACAGCAACAGCAAGCACGACCGCCACCGAGCGGCACGCUGACCUUCGACGAGAUCUCCAAGCUCUUCUCGCUUCCCAUCGCCGAGGCCGCCCCCGUCCUCGGUAACCACACCCGAACCCUCCUGAAGAUCCCCCGAUUCCCGCUUCUUAUUGUGAUUUGUUGUCUAUUUAUUGCUCUUGGCGGUUGGAUUUGGGAUCUGGCGGGUGGCUUUGUUUGUUUGGAUUUCUGUGUGUGCUCUUGAGGAACUCGGUUGUGGUGCACUUUACCCUUCAUUAGAAUGCAUGGAUUUGGGCUUUGGUUUUUCCUCUUCGAUCUUCUCAUCCCUGGACUUCAUUAGAGUGAGGGUGGUUCUCAUUCUCUUUCAAGCAUACUGUUACUAUUGUGGCUCAACAUAGAACUAUGAAAUUAGCACAAAGAAAAAUUAAAUUUCACCUUGGGAACACUAAUGGAAACCAGAAAGCGCAAAAUGUACAACUUGCAGUAGACAAGGCUUUGGCAGAUUUGUUGUUCAAGCUUGGGCUGAUACUGAUACCUGAAGUCUGGAGAUAAGAAUUCGAUAACUUGCUACUGACUUGUUGUUCCAAAUGGUAUAGAGGCCACUUGUCGUUCGUUAGAUUUUUCUCUUGGUUGAAUAAAAUUGUGUUUACAUGUCAUGGCUGAGCAUUUAUUUUGGUCGGUUACUGCAUUCCAUUUAUCUGCAGUUACGUAUGUGAUUAAGCAUCAGGUUUAAUUUAAUAAAUAUGAAAAGCUUGAAUAUAGAAGUUAAAAGGAAUCAUAUGGAUUGGACAACAUAGAGUGAUAGAGAUUGCGUAGGCAUGGAAUUACGAAUCAGGAGUGUAUAUUUUCACGAGGAUUGAACAUUUACCAUAUUCUACAAUUUCUAGAAUUCAGUGUACUAUUUGAUGGGGAAAAGCUGUGUAGCAUGAAAGCGGCAAGAUGGUAUGAUGAAGGAACAUCAUUCAGGACUUGAUUAAUCAGUUCUGAUAUUUAUGUGAAGGAUAGAAAGCUUAUUAGCAAGCAGCUUGCUGUUUCCUUAUAAUUUAAACUGGGAAGCAAGAAAUCGGAUGUAGCAACAUUCAUUUAGGCAAGCAGUUGUGAUGUACAUUACAGAUCAAUCUUUGACAAUAAUAGCAAAGUUGCAAUCACUAAACUGGAAGAAAUUAGAUGAAGGAAAUCUACUGCAGGGUAGGUAGGACUAUAAACACAUCAAUAACAGAAAUAUUAAACAAUAAAAGCAGCAGCAGCAGCAGCGAUGAAGAAUAUACAAAGAAAUAAGAUAAUUCAUGGAGUGACAAGAGAGAAAUUGGAUCACCACUUUUCUUAAAAGAUAAGUCACAUACAUAGAGCCAUGGUCCACUCCAUUAUUUUGGGAAUUAAUAGCUAUAGCCUAAUACAUAGAGUCAUUAACUACUCCAUCCAAAAGUAUGUCACAUAGAGCCAUCAGCUACUUCAUUCUUUAGAUCUCAUAACUGGUCCAAUAUAAAUCCUUCUAAGUUCAACAUUUUAAGGCUUUCUAUUUUACUUUCUGUUACAUUUUUUAUAUUUAAAAUCAGGCUUCAAAUGUAAUUAUACAAUUUCCAUCUGACAGUUGCGAAUGCUGCUUUAUAGGAGUCUGUACAAGUGUCUUGAAGAAGAUAUGUCGCGACUAUGGCAUUGUAAGGUGGCCAUAUCGAAAGGUAGGUUGCUGAUUUAAGUUUUCUCAUUAGUUUCGUGGUGGUUAUCUCAAGAAAUGUUUCAUUAUCAAUGGAAUACAUAAACUCUUCUCAUCCAUCUUUUUGGCAUAUACAGAAACUGAUCAAUGAAAAAAAAAAGUUGAUUUUGAAAUUGUGUAAUAGCAAUGUAACUGUUGCAUAUAAAGCUUUCUAAAAACACAAAAUUUUUUUUCUUAAGUUCAUUUCGUGAGAUGUUCUUUAUUUGUUCCAUCCAGUUGAACGUAACCUUUUAGAGAUUUAUAAUCUUUUAGUAGCAGUUUGGUGUCUGUUAUAAUUUUCAUAGAGUUCAAUGGCAAAUAUGGUCAUAAGCCUUUCUUUUCUUUUCCAUUUAUUUCCCUCUACAUCUUUCUUUCUUUUUCUCCUUGACCUCUAUAUCCGCUAAGACUAUCCAUGUUCUGCGGUGACUGUGCUUUCUUUUUUUCCCUUUUCUGCAGUAGAUGAAGAUUUUCUGUUAGAUUGUUGAAUUAAAGAGCCUUGCACAAUUUCUCAGAUGUUCAUUCCAAACAAAGUUGUUAUAUUUUGCAAUGGUUUUUACAAUUUUAUUACAAUGAGCUGGAAUGAUGCAUGCCAAUUUUAUUACAUGACUUUAUAUCAUGUAGAAAAAUCACAUUACAAAAUCUAAAAUUCUUUCAUGUCCUUCAGAUGUUACAUUCUCUUUAAUUCACAACAGAUAAGUGCUCGAUCCAUCUCCAGUUACAAUGGAAAUGAUGGUUGCUUUUUAUCAACUUAUCUAGUCAAACUGACAGUACCUAUGUGAUUGUAUUGUUUUGGAAACUGUUCCACCUUGCGUUUUACAUUUUAACAUCUGUGCUGAAUGAUCUUUUGCUAACAUAAUUAUCUAUCAUUUUGGUUAUCAUAUUUGGUAUUUAUUUAUAAAGCAUUCUAGAAGAAAUAAUUAGGAAUUUGGUCUUGUUUUUAGCAACUUUGUUGUGUUGUUCUGUUCUUCGUAGAAAUGUAUCUUCAAUUGUGAAAAUUAAAAUGGUCAUGUUGUUUUAGUAUCUUGCUGGGAAGACUGUAGAAGAUAUUAGAAGAGAUAUUGCUAAGGAGAGAAGUAAGGAGCUAGCUGAUUUAUCGAAGACUAACCAAAAGAAUGAUGUGUCCAAUGUGAUGUCAUCGCCAGUUGGUUCCUUAUCAGCUUUGUGAGUAUACUUACUUUUCUUGUUCAGUGAAAAGUAUAAUGCAUCUCCAUCCAUAUCUUUGUCUUCUAAUUUAUCAUGCUUUAUUAGGUAUGGCUUUUUUUUAGUGUAAACUUCAUCAAAUAUUAUCUUAAACACAAUCUUGUCCAUGUAAAUGUCUUGCCAUGAGUAUUUAUUUCAACUUCACAGGCAGUUGUUCUGCAGGAUUCUUACUCGAUGCAUGCUUAGGAAGGCAUGAGUUCUCAACUAAUCUGCAGCUAGUAUUUGCUACUUGAUAGAAUUACUUGGAGAAAACAUUUAACCCGUGUGUAUGAAUGUUAUGCUUGUAGGCUAUUCUUCAAAUUGUUGCAAAAAAUGUGCCCUCUUGGAUGAGUUUGCAAGGAAAAUAUGCCAAAUGAUCAUCCUAUAACUAUGUGAACAGUUUUAUCCAUUUUGACUUCGGGGUGAUAGUGAAUCAAGUCUUUAUAAAAAUGCUAAUCGCCAAAUUGAUAGGACAAAGUUUUGGCUCUGUUAUUGUGACUCACCUAUUGCUGGAACUUAUCUUAUUUUAUCAAUAAUCACAUUUCUCGUCUAAUGAUCUUAUUUUGUCAAUUUUAGUCUUAGCAGUUUUAAGUUAUCGCAAGGAGCACGUAGGACAUUUGACUGGUUAAAAUUAAAAUUGAUGCCAUCUCUUUCAUUAUAUUGCUUAUUGCAUGGCCUGAACUUUAUAUGAAACUCUUGUGACCAAGUUUCUGCUAAUUAUUGUCUCUAGAUGCAUUGAGGAAACCGAUUGACCUCUGAUCCUUACAAACAAAUAUGGCAAUUUUGUCUUCAGUUAAUAAUCAUGGAAGUAUUUACUAGCAACUACAGAAAAAAAUAAUGUCAUCUUGUAUCUUUGUAGAUUACAAUGUUUACUACUUGGGGUGUUUGGAGUGCCUAUUUAGAUUUUCCAUGCCUUUAAUGUUUGCUAUUUAUUUAGCUUGUAUCUAGUUAGAAAUGUUUGUAUGCAAUAGGAUGUGGCCUUAAUUUUUCAUGCCCUUAAUUUUUUUUUUUUUUUUUUUUUCCGUACGAGUAUCAUCAAAACCUAACUAAAUUGUAACCAGUAACCUGCAACACUAGCUUUAGCGUAUAACACCCAGGUCAUGGUUUUCAGGUCACCAUGACUAAUUAGAAAAUCAUAUUUUAGUAUGUGCAUAAGGAAUUUUGUUAUAAAUACAGUACUUAUUCCUUGCGGAAUGAUACAGAAAUAAUGUGAAUCAUCCUAUUCUGUGAAAAGAGGGGCUCGAUGACCUAAGCUGAACUGCUUUGAUGUAGAGAAUUAUUACUGGAAGAAGAAUAUUCUUUUUCUAUUAUUUUUUGAACUGAAUAGAUCUAUCUUUCUGCAAUAGGAUAUAACUCUCAAUUUUCUUGUCUUUUAUUUGUUCUUUUUUUUUUUUUGUAAACAGAUAUUUCUGCUGCUAUUCUAGAUGCACCACGAUUUGAUGAUCACUAAUGAAACUUGAAUUCAUAUACAAGAUAAUGUUUGUUGGGUUGAACAUGUCUCAUGUUUUUGCAAUAUUGGAGGCAUUAUGAAGCAUGAAUUCAUAUACUAAGAUAAUAUUUCUAGAGUCGAACAUGUCUCAUGCUUUUGCCAUAUUUGGAGGCGGCAUGUUGGAGGUACACACAACUUGGCGAGGAGCCCCUACUUGUGCUCCAGACCUUAAAAAACCAAGAAUGUCAGCUAUAUUUCAAUAAAAAAGUGAACCAACGUUAUUUCUAGAGGGAUUUCUGAGGUCUGAAAAGCACGCAGAGAAGGCAAACAUAUUAACACAUCAGCUUUCUCCUAUAUGGAAAAUUUGUUGAAUCUGUGUUCAUCAUUAACUUAUAUUAAUGACACUACAAGAAGCAGAAAAAUUAGCCGUCAUCUGUGCAGUUCAAACAUGGUCUUCUUUAGUUAUUUGAUAGAUAAUUUGCACUUUAUUUGUGAAUACAUACGUCAGUGGUUUGUCGAUGCUGGACGUCAUAGUGUAGGUUCUUAUGCAAGUAACAAUUUAAUUCUUUGCUUGCUCCUAUAAGCCUUGCCUAAUGCAAUUUUUUUGAAUUUUGAAACAGAACACCGAACCCUGCUCAAGAAUCUUCCAAAAUGCAGAGAGUUUCCAUGCCAGGGCAUGUUUCGCAACUGCAAGGAAGUAGGUUUACUCAAAACGGAUGGCCAAAUGUGCUCCAUCAAAACCAAUCAAAAAACAUCCCUACGUUCAUGGACGAUUUCAAAUAUGGUUUUCCAGAAAAUGGUCUAUCGUCAACUUCAUUCAAAUGGUGGGGAAUCAGCAGGCUAGAAGAAACCGAAAGGACCGUGCCAGGAGAAGGAGAAACUACGACCGAGAAGGAUGACAAUCAAGAGGUACAGGACUCAUCAAAUGAAGGCGAAGAACCUGAUUCUGGUGCAGAGGACAAUGUUAUCGUAACCAAGCCAUCUGCUUUGCUGUGCUCUCUGAGAAGAAAAUCUGUUGAAUAUGGGCGCGAGUCACUCAAGAGAGGGAUUUCGGUUGCCGGAAUACCCAACAAACUCACGAAGAGGCAGAAGCUAACAUUAUCCCAAGUAUUUGGGUCAUCUUUACCAGAGGAAUGGAAGGAAAACUUCUCGUGAUCCUUCUUCACUGAGUAAUUUAAUUUCCAUGACCAAAUGACAGGAGUCUGUUCUCGACUAGGCAUCGGAAAGACGAUACUUUAUUAUCAAACUCGAUCGUUUUCUAAUCCUAACUGCAGUUUCCUUGUCACAACCUCGAGUGUUUUUUGCCUGUCAUCUUCUUGUACAUCCUAGUUUGUCUUCCUUCUUGGUGAGAAGGUUAUCGCUUCAUCUAUCUUCAGCUUCAUGGAAUGGCAAUGAGAAAAUCUGAAAUAAGAUAAUAUUGCAUGUCGAAUUAAAAUCCUUUGCUCAAAUCUGCUGCUUGUAGCUGAGCAUUAUAAUUAUAACUUAAUUGGUGUGCUUAUGAUACAUAUUCAUGAUCGAGAAAUAUUUUACCGAAGGGCAUCAGAUAAAAGUUAAUGCAAACUACAUAUUCUAGUGUUUUGUACAUCUCGGUCCUCUCAGAUCACAUGCGAACUGUCGCAUUCCAACACAGCCCGAACGAGCUCGUUCCACAGUGAGACUCGCACGCUUCUUGAUGGUGAUCCAGCUCAGGAUUGCUUGGCCUGAAGCGAAGCUGUCGGUGCCCGUGUUCUGUACGUGCCACCCAUUCCGUCCUUCGAAUUCAUGUAGGCAACAGUGCGAAGCUUGUCUUCAGGUGGAUCAUACUAGAUUUAUAGUACUGAAUCAUGAGAUAAAUUCCUAUGUUUCGCUCCUCAUGAUGAGUAGGAUUUCAAGUGCAGGAGCGCUCGAAGGUGAUCUUUUUUUUUUUGUUUGUUUACUUGGAUGAUAAAGACUCGAGCUUAGCUUACUGGGCACGAAUGAAUGAAUGGAUUAUUUAGUCGAAUAGGCAGCUUUGCAUCACGCUUUUGUCGAGUCACUUAGUAAAACCUUGUGCAGUGUAUGUCCCCAUCUUUCUUCCACGUGAAAGCUGCAACCCUUGCAGACGAACUCUUUGAAUCCCACAUGACAUCCAUACCUCCGGUAGAAAACUUCUAAAUGCAUGCAGAGUUCGAUUGUGGAAGAAAUGCUGCAAGAUGUGCUACAUUUAUCCUGGAAUCAAUUAAAGGUUUCUCUAAUAGCAAGACAACAACAAAUUCUCACUACAACCAACCAGAAUCAGAUCCAUCAUAACAAUGCAGAAAGCCACUCUUCGGUGUUGUCUUCUUGGUUGGGGUUCAGGCAUAACCGCAGCUCCCAUAACCUGCAAAAGGUAAGAGAGAACAAAUGUGUGUGAGAUCUACAUGGGUGUCGUUCGAAUGGGGCACAUGAUCGGAGAUCUCACUUGGGUCGGUGGCGACCACGAGGCCGGAGUUCUUGAAGAAGCAGUUCCACGGGUUCCUUCCUCUGGACUGGUAGUAGAGGUUCAUGGCGAUGGAAGCGUGGGACAUGAGGUUGUCCGGGUAGAAGCACGUGCGGCCCCUCUGCAGCACGCUACAGUCCACCUGAGAGCAGGCGUAGUUGAUGUUUCCCAGAAGAGUUGCUUCGUCCGACGAAGGUUUCGCUACGCACCAAGUUUUCUGCAACAAAGCAACGACAACGUCUGCAUCGACUUCCAUGACAUGGGGUGGAAUGGACAAGACGAGCACAGUUCGGGAAGCAAAAUGCCGAACAACUACAGUUAGUGAGGCGCAUAAUUAGGUCCGUCGGUGUUACCUGCCCCUGCACCGACUGCAUUCCCCCUGUCAUCACAAGGUUUAGAGCAGAGAUCAGAAGAAGAUGGCGACAAACAGCGGCUAAGGGAUCAAGCAAGUCACGAGCUAACCUGUGGCGAAGCAGAUCAGGAGCAGCACAAAAGAGAGGAAGACGAAGGAGGGAGUUCUCGCGGCUCCUCUUGCCAUUUCUCUACCCCUUCUGUUUGCUGGCCGUAGGAGGAGGGAGGAGAUCGAACCUGGUCGUCUUCUUCAGCGUGGAAGCGAGACCGAGAGCGAGCUGUCGAUGAUGGGGGAUAAGAAAGCAAGCUCCCUGACCGGGCCCGGAGUGGGACCCGGUCAGAAACAUGUUAUUAGAGACCUACGAGUCGCGCAUACUCCACGUGGCCUACGUGUCGGUGGCCGCGCUGGUUUGGAUUCUCGGGCGAGCCCGACAAGAUUGCGAAAAGUGGGCCCCAGAGAAACGCCUCGUGACACGAUUUGGGUCCCGAUUCCGUCGCAUCUCCGAUGGCACCUCAGCUUAACGGACCUUUUCGCCUCUCUUCCCUCCGGCGAGCCACAGUGCAACCAAAAAGGAGGGACCGACUCUACUUUUUGCCCUUUGGGUCUCCUCAACGCUGUGAAGAGAACGAUGCUUCUUGUUCUGCGUACAUCACUGCUUUUCCAGCAUUCAUCUCUUCACAUGCCAUCACGUUGCCCUUCCACGGACCGUCCCGUGUUUCCUAGCCUUUGUCACGGUUCAUCCCCAGACAUUUCUGUGUGCCAUGUGAAUGUUCUCUGGUGCAGCAAAUUGCUGCAUUGGCUACUGAUAUCAUGUGCAGACAUUGCAAUCCUGAUAUCAUGGAAUCCACUGCCAAUCUAUACCUUGGUUCAUCAAUACGUACCCAAAUUUGUUGAACUGUCCCACAUGAGCAUGAAGAACACGAAAAUAAAUUAAUACACUUUUAAGAUUGCCAAAUCCACUUGCAUUUGAUUACAUCAUUAGUUCAAUGAACCAGUCUGAUAUACGAUUCUAUAGAAACGCAGAUGUCCGAAUAGUACAACAGAAAGUUUGAUCAUCAUGAGCAACCAUAUAGGUAGGUAAUUUCUUCAGAAGAACGAGGAACCAACUUAGGCGGAAACCUAAGACCCAAAUCUUUCUCUGUCGUGCGGAGAAGAAUAAUCUACACCGGGACCAACUGGAAUUAUCCCAAACGGAUUGAUAGAAGGAUGGCUUCCGUAGUAGUGCUUCUUUAUGUGUGCCAUAUUCACCGUGCUGCUCAUGCCUGGAAUUUGGUAUAUGUCUUUGGUGUAAUUGAACAAAUUUGGAUAUUCACGCAAUUGUUUUUUGUUGCACUUGAAAUGAACAGUAUAGACCUGUGGAAAUCACAUAUAGUUCAGUGAUCGAGUGGGCAUCCGAAAUAACAUACUAUAGUCUAAUGGCCUAAUUUGAUGAUGCUUUUUAAAAGUACAGUCGAUAGGUUGAAAACCAGAAAUCUAUCGAUACCAGUCAUAAACUAGUUUACAGAUACGAGAAACACGGAAGCAUAGUCAAUAUUUAUCCAGAUUCCAAUGCAAAUAAUAAAGCACCUUAGUAGACAUUUAAGACAUCAGAUUCAACAGUAUCUUAAUAAAAACAAAAGUGUCUUCCCCUGUGAUUAGAGCAACCUAUUGAAUCAGAACAUAAAUGUUUUGUUGAGGGUGUGCUUACAAUUCAAUCUAACUAUAAUUGGGGAAGAGAUGGCACUAGCCAUUCCACCAAAAGUUACCAGAUGAAGUUUCAUCUGUAGUUUCAAUGGUGUGAAAUUCAGAUGUGCCACUAAAGGUCUCACAUUGUCUUGUUUUUUAAUUUUUAUUGGUUUCAUGGCAAACAUAGCAAAGCUCCUUCCACCCUUCCUUGGUCCCAGAUAUCUUUGAACCCUUAGAUUUCCAUUUUGUCUCUUGUUAUGAGCCUAAAAGAUUUUCCUUUUUCGAGAUGGGUAUGCAAAUCACAUUGAUUAACACUGGGCCAAACAGAAUGGUUGUGGACAGGCAUUUACAAGAGCUCAGAUAGAUGUCUGUUCUGCUCAUAACUUUCUGAUAGAUGGAACAUUAGCAUACAAACAUGAUGAAUCAGACUAACAUUCUUUUGGUUUCUAAAGGUUAAGCAGAAUUAGUUGUAGUCCAGCUCAUUAAGGCCACAGGCCGCUAAGGUUCAUCCAUAUGUAUGGCCUUUGCCAAUAAGCUAAAUUCAAAUUUCCAAUUAGAAAAAGGAAUAUCAUUUUUUCCACCCAAAUGAGAAACAGCCACCUCCAUGGGUUAAUACUUUGAAGCCAGUGCAGAUAUUAUGGUUAAAACAAAUCAAACAGAUUUAGUCCUGUCUUCCUCACUGGUCAGUGUCAAGGUCACAUGGUUACAUCUUACUCCGGCUAAAAUUAAGUUUCUGACUAGUUAUAUCAUCUUAAAACUUGCUUUUGUCAAAUGCAUAGGACACUGCCUCAAAAUAUUCUCUUAAACAAGUCUUGCAAAACAAUCUGUGCACUGUACAAACAUCAAAAUAGGAACAAUCAGAUGCCUAAAGCAAUCAUUUGCUCACACAAAAAUCUUAUUUUGCAUAUUGAAUUCCAUAAAUUAUACACAAUUGAUUGUAUAUUCUAACAAAAAUAAACCGGAAAAAAGACAAAGCAUCAGCUCACUUUUCAUGAUGUUAGGCUGUGUUAAAUUUUGAGGUACAUACCUCAUCGAACCUGAUGAGAGUGACAAACAAGCGAACGUCAGCUUCAGUUAGCGUAUUCCCACAAAUAUAUCGUUGCUUGCUGAGAGUCUCUUCACAUUUGUCCAAAGCAUCAAAUAAUUUUUCAACGGCCUAGACAACCAGAAAGUAGUGAAAAGGCUGUUUUCAUGAUUUAAAGAUUGAUAGUCAUAUAAUCCACUUCAAGUGAAGGAAAAAAAAAAAUCAGUUGUAGUAGAUAGUUACCUCGUCAUAAGGACCUUGUUUCUUGGCAAAGCCACAUUUGUAUACCCCAUUAUUUAUCGUGUCAUAUAUCCAUUCGUUGACCUCAUCUAUCAAAGCUUGCAUAUGAGAUGGAUAUAAAUCCAGGUCUGCAUUCUCAGCUAUAUCGUUAAACUCGGUGUUGAACAUACGGAUUAUUUCUGCACUCUCAUUGCUCACAAUUGUUUUAAGUUUUUUAUCCCACAGAACCUGCCAAAUAAGAUAAAGCGAAAGGAAGGUCACUUGUUGAGUACACUGAAAGAAAAAAAAAAAAAGUAUAGUUCAAUAGACAGAAUACAUACAGGCACCGUAUAUUUCCCCAUAUAGUUUGAGCUAGCCAGCUCAUAUAAUUCCCUAAUACUUUUGGCUCCAUUCAAGGGAUCAGGUUCAGCUCCAGGUUCUUCUGUACUAGAAGGGAAAACCCAUCCAAAAUGUUCAUCGCUCUCCUUUGUCCUUUCCCAUAUUGGUUUGACAGCCUAUCAGAUGCAAUUGCUCAAAUGUUAUUAUAUAUUUUCCUAAGAUAAACAUUCCUCGGAUAUAGAGAGUCACCGUGUAACUGAUGGCCUUGUCAAGUCCUUUGAGCUUCACAAAUGAAAGACAUCUUGAUGCCCAAGGACAUGCAUAUGAUAUAUACAAGUGAUACCUUCCAGAUUCUGCAGGAAAUUGAGAAGUCUUGUCUUUUGAAAUAAAAUUGCGGAAAGUUGAUGGUGUGCGAUUGAAUGCACCAGAUUCUGUCAUCUCAUCUAAUGCUGAUCGAGCCAUCUUAAGAAUGUAAUGAAAGACAUAAUAUGGUCAAACAAGAAGUGGAAGAAUGUCGAAGAAUAAAAACCUCAUCCAGUAUACAAAAGUGUAACGAAAGUGAGAUGAGAGAAAAUAUUGACAUGUACAUCAAUCAGAAGUUGAUAGGAAAGCAUUAUAGGAUUUGUGAAGAGAAAAUAUUGACAUGUACAUUAUCCAGGAGUUACGGGUGCUGUCAAACCUUGAUAUAAAUAAAAAACAUAGCCCUAACUUUCACAAGGUUGCUUCGUAUUAGUAACUUACAUCCCAGCCAGCAAAACCCAACUAACACAGAAUGUGGUGUGUCAGGAUGCCUUCAGAAUGACAAUACACACUAUCUUAAUGAGACAGUUGCAAGAUGCUGAGAUGAGGCCCAGCACUCAAAACAUUCUGAUGAAUAAGAAGCAAAUAAUAGAGGUUCACAUUACAAUCUACUGCAUCUAUAUUUCAAGAGUUCUAUUACAAUUUUCAGGAGAUGCUUGAAAUUUAGUCUUAUUUAGUAGCUUUCUAUUGUUAAGUUGUAAAAAAAUUGAGUUAACUUUUAGAUGGCUUUUGGGUGGUAAAGUCAUGUCUGGACAUAAGACAACCCAAGUUAGAUAUGAAUUUGAAACACUAGAAAACAAAAAGACCUAUUUUUAUUAGUCGACACAUUUUGGUUAUGUAUACUUCUCGCACUUGAUCCCUGUUUAUUCCAAUUAUUGUAUAGUGUUGAAAAACAGGGUUCCAUACUAUAGACUUCCACCAAAUGGCACGGCACGUCAAAACACAACCAGAACAUAAGACACUGGGUCUGUAUCACAUAACCUUUCUCUAGCACUUGCAUUUACAUGUGGGAGAACAACCGCAAGGAUUUUAACUAUGAAAAGACCUCCCACAUAGCAAUGUCAACAACUCAAACUCAUAAUAUCCAAUGAAUUAAAAGCAAAACCCCUCGAAAGUAUAUUUUCUGCUUCAAGUUAGAUUGAUUAUAUGUUAUUACUUUAUCCAUCACAAUUAGGCAUAUAAACCUUAAUAGUAAUGAAUAUCCAUAGUGGAAGCAAAAUACAGAGAUGCUGCAGCAUUGUGCUGCUUCUACAAUUGGAAUUUUGAAAGAUGCCUCAGUGAUAGUAGCAAUACUCAAUAGAUGCUAGGCGUAAGGAAAGAAUUCUAAACCAUUUUAAGGCAUGAAAUCUAACUCAGUUUUUAGGGGUCUUUGUUCCCGUUCUAUGUUUGCAUAUAAAACAUAGAAUAAUUGCACUACUGAAAGUAAAUUUCUUGUUUGUAAUCUUUCCUUGAGCCAAUUGGAAAUUGUGAUAAGGAACGAUUUUACAUGAUGAUUGGUCUUGAUCAAAUGGAUCAGAGCACAUCAGAAAUUUAGUUGUUUAGUCUCGUUUUCUUGAACCCUCCCCUUCGUGUUCCAGCCUUUGCCCUUUUAAAACGAGCUUGUUCAAAUGAUCCCACUUGAAAAUCCUUUUACUCGAAUCCAUCGGCUAUUUGCUCAUCAUCUCCUUCUUCCACGAAUUCCAAAAUCAAGAGGACCCGUAUCACUCUAUACGAGUAAUCAACAUGGGCCAUCUGCCACAACGACUACAUAUGCCUCGACAAUUACCCUAAAUACCAACUUUCUAUACGAAUAAUAUGAAGGUCAUCUACAAAUCAAGAUCCAUAGAAGAUGAGAAAACAGUAACUUACACAUGUUAGUUCCAAUGGGAGAUUAGUAAGCAAGUAACGCUAGUAAAUUGGCAGGACGCAAUCGCUCAUACAAGCGGGAAAGAAGGGAUCUAAAUCGCACCUUGGAGGAGAAGGAUCGGGUGACGAUGAAGCGAGAACAGGACGAGAUCAUGCAAAGCCCCCCGACGCUGUCAUAAAUCUGUGGAACGGGAAAGUAGAAGAAACCUAAUCUUUCCACUGAUGGAGCGAGGGCGGCGACCGGGAUUGGUGCGUGACGUGGCGGUUGCCCAGCUCCAUCGCCGCCAGGUUGACUACCGGCGGUACGUGAUUCAACUGCUGCACGGCACGUCAUGGCAUAGCAUAGCGGAUCCAAAUCCUCUCCAAUUCUUACCCGUUAUGAACCCUCCGCUAUCGUCUAUAUCCGUGCUCAGCUGGUCACUUCCGCUGUCUAGGUUGAGGCAGGGAACAGUUUUAUCAGCCAUCAGCCAUCCGUCAAUCGUCAUCUUAUCGUUAAGUGCUGCGAACCGUGAUCCCUGGUCGCGACAGGUAAGCCUCAUCCCGUCAGACACAAAACCCAGGGCUACUUCAAACGCGACAUAAGUCACCGCUUCAAUCGCAACCGUUGAUGUGCCCGGCAAGUGGUGCGUGGUAAGGUCCGUCGGCUUCUCUGUGUGAGCCGCGACUUAGGUUUGUCAGAAAGGUCCUGUUUUGACUCGUGCCGGUGAGUUCUCCUUUGAUUGCGUUUAGCCGCAGAUGGGAGAGGCGUUCCGAAUCCCCCGCUAUCCUCUCCGCCUUCCAGCCGUCAAUCGGGUGGCUCAUGGAAGCUCCCUCUUAUGCAGAAAUGUCAUCUGCGUGGAGGUCUUGAAUUGGAUGCCUGUAUCUUUUUGUUUAUCUCACAAAACUAAGCUAUACAAACCACUGAGCUCUUGAGAACGUCCAAAAAAAAGAAAUUGAUCUUUUUACAGCUUGACAGUUCCUCCCAAAAAGAAAAGCUUCCUCAUCCAUAUUGAAAGUCGAUUCAGAUGUUGAUUGAUUUAUAAGAGUUAUUAAUUUGAGUUUGAGCAUUUUUAACUGUGCACGUUGUAGAUGGAUGUAUCAAAGUUUUGUACACGGAUGUAUAAACUUUGAUAGUGUUCAUUCACACAGUGUUUGAGGGAUACUGUGGGGAAAAUAAUAUCUCAACAUCUAAAUUGGAGAUAUAGUCAACAUAAAAUAAAAGAAAGAUAAAAUCGAUCGGAUUGCUACUCUGCCAAGAUGACGUUUCCACCAUUUUUAUUGGACCAGAGCAAGACCACAUCAUCUAAUUCAAGAUUUCUAGUUGCAUCUGGAAGCUUCUUCGCCCUUUGGCAGCGAGAACAGAUGUGUGGUAGCAAACCUCGGAGACACUGCGACCACCGAAAUCGACACAAGAUCCAACGAGUAUCUCACUCUAAGUUGUGGAUGAUGGACUGCCAGACGCUGGAACUCAUCCGCCACCUGAAACUUCAGUAGCCAAUCAAAACCAAGAUAAAGAUUUCCAUGGAUAAGGACUCCCAUCCCCUCUUCUGCUAUUAAACCCCUGCAGCCAUCACCUCUCACAGCAGGCACUCCUCCAAGGCUUUUCCUUCUACUUCACCACCCUCUCCCUGAUCCAACCAUGGCUGCCACAAUGGCCCUCUCCUCCCCCUCCCUCGCUGGUAAGGCCGUCAAGCUCGCUCCCUCGGCCUCCGACAUCCUCGGCGAAGGCCGCAUCACCAUGCGCAAGAGUGCCGCCAGGUCCAAGCCCGUCUCCUCCGGCAGCCCCUGGUACGGCCCCGACCGCGUCAAGUACCUCGGCCCCUUCUCCGGCGAGCCCCCCUCCUACCUGACCGGUGAGUUCCCUGGCGACUACGGCUGGGACACCGCCGGCCUCUCCGCCGACCCCGAGACCUUCGCCAAGAACCGGGAGCUGGAGGUCAUCCACUGCCGCUGGGCCAUGCUCGGCGCCCUCGGCUGCGUCUUCCCCGAGCUCCUCGCCCGCAACGGCGUCAAGUUCGGCGAGGCCGUCUGGUUCAAGGCCGGCGCGCAGAUCUUUAGCGAGGGCGGCUUGGACUACCUCGGCAACCCCAGCCUGAUCCACGCCCAGAGCAUCCUCGCCAUCUGGGCCUGCCAGGUCAUUCUGAUGGGCGCCGUCGAGGGCUACCGUAUCGCCGGUGGCCCGCUCGGCGAGGUGACCGACCCCCUCUACCCCGGCGGCAGCUUCGACCCCCUCGGCCUCGCCGACGACCCGGAGGCGUUCGCAGAGCUCAAGGUGAAGGAGAUCAAGAACGGAAGGCUGGCCAUGUUCUCCAUGUUCGGGUUCUUCGUGCAGGCCAUCGUCACAGGGAAGGGGCCGCUGGAGAACCUGGCGGACCACCUGGCGGAUCCGGUGAACAACAACGCUUGGGCCUACGCCACCAACUUUGUCCCCGGGAAGUGAGAGGACAUGCAUGCUUCAGCUCCCCCUAUCAUUUCCCACCGAGUCUCCUUUGUGCUCUCAUGAACGUAUCUGUAAAUUAAUCUGAUGCUUUGUGUUUUCUCGUAUUACCAAAUGCUCAAGUUUACUCAUAUAAUAUAAAUAUAAUAUAAUAUAUAUAUAUAUAGUAAUAAUCUUAAUAUUUGGAAGAUAUAUUAAAAUUUGUAGGGGCCCAGCAAGUGGGAGACAUGGCCCACAGUUCCGGCCCACGGAGGGCGUUCGUUAUUUCGGUUACCAUUUCGAGACGGUUUCUUGAUGGGUUGAAAUGACCUACCCACGCCGAACCCUCCCUUCUCCAACCGAGAGAACCCUAAUCUCUCCGAUUCCCGCCUCUUCUCUGCCUCCAUGGCGAAGCCACCGAGUUCUACGAUCUCCUCGAUGCGCCAACCUUUUCCGCGGAUCUCUAACCCAACCAUCAUCCUCCCCAGGAAAUUCCUCAGGAUAUCCCGCCAAUCCGCCUUCAAACCGGCGAUCGACGUCCGCCCCUUCCCCCUCCGCUUUGGAGGACGAUGAGGAGUAGGAUAUCGCGGUCUUUGAAUGUCGUUCUUGAAAUCCUAGCAACGCUAAAGAAGAUGGCGGUCGCUGGCCCUGCUCUUGGGUUUGUUCUUGAUGACGAGGAGGAGGAGAUGAAGGGUUUCGAUCUCUUUGAUUGCCGGCCUUCGAAAGCCGUUCGUGAAAUCUUAGCAACCGCUAAUGGGAUAACGGUCGCUGGCCCUGCUCUUGGGGUUCUUACUGUUGAUGGCGAUUGGUCCGCUUUCUCCGGUGGGUGACGGGAAGUGGUGAGCUGUUUCUUCUCUUCGCUUCGUCCUGCUCCACAUCGUCGUCAUGGUUAUGAUCAUCUUUAGCGUUUUCACACCGUUGAACCCAUCUUGUUCUAGAUCUUCAUACCGCUUUUUGGUGUUCAUCCGUUUCUUUUUCUCCAGCAACUGGAACCAAAAACAGGAAAAGCAUGAUCAUAUUCUAGAUACAGUGGUUAUAUUCAUCGUAUUGGUUCUUGGGAUGGAGAAGCUUGACUUCAAGCUUCAUCUAUAGUGGGUUUCUGGUCUUGUAUCUUUCACUAAUGUGGGUUUCUUAUGUUGCUAGGAAGUUAUUUGCCUCUUUAUGUUUUUCCUUCUUUCUAAUUUGUUCUUGCUAAAUUCGCCAACCUUCAUUUUCUUUGAAGUGAAUUAUGUGCUCUCUGUUGAGUCUGAGUUGAGAAUGUAAUGCUGUUGUAAAAGAUCCAUUGGAAUGUACAUUAUACUUUCGGUGGAUUGAAUUGCUCAGUGUCACAUAUGGUUGCUGGUAUUGCCCAUAAGCAGAGAGAGUCCAUAUGUACAUUUGUACCCUGUGAUGUCCAGAUAUCUUUUCAUAAGCAUGGUUGUGGCUCACAAGAAUUCUUAAGUCCUUCUUAGAUGAAUCUCUUAAUUUAAACUUUUCUUAUCACAAACAUGUUACACAAUAUGUUCAUGCAGUAUCUGUUUUCAUGUUGGCAUAUUGGGUGCAACAACCUCAGGCAGAUCUUAAUCAGAUUGCUUGUGCUGCUAUUACAUCUACCAUUGAAGGCUUAAGUUCUGCAUUGAGAGGUAUAAAAAGUUCAUCAUCUUUAUGUGAUUACCAUUGUUUUAGGAUAGACAAUAAUAUUGGUUGCUUCCAAUGCUUGUUUAUAGAGGGCAAACCCUUAGUGUCAGAGUUAGGUUGUUCUCUUGCGAGGUGAGUGACCAAGGUUCGAUUCCAGAAACUAGCUUCUUUACUUAUUAGAAUGAAGCUGCAUAGAUGCCAACUUUCUAUUCAGAAAAAUAAAAAUUGAAGGAUGCCAACACUCAACAUUAUUUAAAAAUUUUGGAUUGUUUAGACCAUUAUCAACACUAUACAGGUUGACCUGUUAUACUCUGACAAGAUUCUGGUUUCAGUAUAGAACCGGUAUCUUCUGAACUUGUGUACAUGUAUAUGUGUCUUGUGCAUAUGUAUGUAUAUACAUAUAUAUAUAUAGUAUAUAAGCACAUGCAUAUAUAUUGCUAAACAUUUACUUGAACUCUUGCUGCAUGCCACCAACAUUUCAUUUUACAUCAUUCGGUUUUUACAGUCACCAGUUGUUUGACUAAUGCUCAGAGUGCUUGUCAUAAUUCUAUGCUCUCACAAAUGUUUUCUCAACAUGCACAAGUGUCUUGUGAAGAUUCCAAUUCUUCUUACUUUUUAAUGCAAGGCAAAAUUUUUUCUUGAUGUGAUAAUAGUAGAGAAUGAUCCAAUGAUCUGAUACUGACUAAUGUCGCAAAAAACCAUGAGUGGUAAUCAGAGUUUGACAAUGGGGUUUAUAGGUCCAUGGACAAGGUAUAAGGCUAUACUUCCAGAAACAACAGUGUGUUAAUCUGGGAAUUAGGUAGUUUUGUGGACUAAAUGGAGUAAGAGGCCAACACUUAUUUUCUUCCUUUGUACCUUUUUCUUCCUCCCCUCAACAUCUUGUUCUACUUCUACCCAUAUUUGUGAUUCUGUUUUUAAGACGUCUUUUGGUAUCUAUCUGUUCAUGGUUGCGUCCUGACUGCAAGUCAUUUAACAAGUUGGACAAGUAUGUUUUCUGUGAUCACAUCAGUUUGGAGCUCAAGGUCAUGGCUACAAACCAGCUAAGAGCAGUUAGAGGCAUGCUUUGUCCUGGUACAUUUUCUGCAAUCACAUCACUGGAUCAUGAAAAUUCAUAAUAGUAAUAUUGAUUUUGAUAGGGCAUAUAACAACCACAUAGCAUGUCUGAAAGUUUCAAGCAGGUGAAGUACUUGUAAGCUGUAGCAAAUUUCAAGGGUCUUCUCUUAUAGUAUCUUGGAAGCCAGUGGAUUGAAAUGCUUUUUAUCUGGAUCAAAAUGUAUCUUGAUAUUAUUCUCUUAGACGCAUUAUAGUUGUCUUUUAAUUAAGCUGCCUUUGCUGCCUCCUUGUUCCCUUUCUAGAUAAUUCUUGUCAGUAAGCAUUUUGAGACUUGUAUAGGCACUACAGAAUAUCGGUGCAAUUCCAACAUAGUUAUGGUAGUGCGAGACAUACUAGACAAUUAUAUUUGUUCAUGACAUAGUGAACAUGUAGAACUCUUAGUAUAGGGCAAUCUGGUUUAACCUUUUUUAUCUGGUGUAAUUACACUUGUCUCUCUGCCAUAGGUUGUAAAGGUGUCGUGAAUGUAUCAAGAUGAAAACCACCAGCUUUCAGAAAAGGAGCUGCUUAGAGACUGUCAACUUUUGAAGCCUUUUAAGGUAAAAUUAUUUCAUAAUUGUUGCAGGGUACCAUUUGUUAGAUGGUGAACUUACAAGGACGUGUGAUUGCUCCUUUUAAGGUAAAACAAACAUUCAAAACCACAAGUCACAUUUUGAAUGUUUGUUUUUGAUAGUUGACUCUGAUUAGGCUAUGGAACUCAGCAUAAGACUCGAGAAAUUUGCUGAUGUAAGAACUCCUUUCAGAUGAUUUAUGUACGUGCUGGUUCACCAUGAAACUUGUAGAUAUGCUAUUUUGAUUUGAAGUCCCAUAUAUUUUUAUUAAAAUUUUUGCAUCCUGGUUUCUUGAACUCGUAUAUUUCUAUUCAUGGCACUAAAUAUUCUCUAAUAUGGCAUAUUAUUUUGUGAUUGGUUUUGGGCCAUUAGGAAGGUCGGUAAGAUGCGAAUGUUAAAUGGCAACAUUGUACUGUGAUCAAACUGAGUCCAGACUCGAAAUGUUAAAUGGUAAUAUUGUGCUAUGGUUUUAUUUUUGCUUUGGUUUUUCCCAUGCUCAAGAAGAUAAAGAUUUUUUUCAUGUUCUUUUUUUUUUUUACUAAGAUUUAUCAAGUAAAUUGGUGUCGAGCAAAUUGGUAAUGGUUGUCCAGUUCAAGAAUUUGGAAGCUGAACCAACUUACAACAUCAGCCUGGAUUACAACCUCUGUACAUCAUCAUAUGUUGAGACACUUCACUGCCAAAAAGUUGAACCAACUUAUUAGACGUACAAGUGUUCUUUAUAGAUGAGCACAUGUAAUAGGAACACAAGUAUCUUACGUUAAUCAUAUAUUACAAGGAUAUCGUUCUCAGUGACAAGACCUCUGCAUUGAUAUUUGUAUAUCAAUGCAUCCACGGGUAUCUUUCACUGCAUCAAAUAUCAAUAAUUGUCGACCACUGUGGUGUGCUGGAGACAGCAACGCCGUCCACAAAAUAUCACAGAUAGGAUCUGUUUCACCUCCGCUGUGUGCAUGACAGUUGAGUUGGUGACCAAUCAAUAUCGGUAGGUCGCUGCUGUUAACUCUUCUUGUCCUGGCUUCCCUACGCCGAGCCAACAGCAUUAACGAGCUCGCGCCCCACCGUCUGCGCCGCACGACGUACGUACAUCAAAUUCAUGUGCCUCAGCCAACUCCGUCGUCGAGCCACAGAUGGAAGCGUCAUAUUUAUGAUCGUAAAGCCUAUCUUGUUGUCGUAAGGUUUCGAACGGGAGGCCUUCAUUAAAUACAGAUUCCCAAACACAUCGGUACUACCGUGAAAUCAAAAGCCGUGGUGUUGACUGGAGCAACUUUGGCCUCUGCUUUGUAUUAGUAUCUUCCAAUCUAUUCUUCCUCACUUGUUCUUUUCUCCAACACUUCUUCUGGUACGGACUCAUUCCCCUCUGCUUUUCCUUUCGGUAACUUUCUCGUAUCUUUUUCUCUUCGUAUACAAAUCUUCCUUGCGGCAUGUCGGUAAUGUGCAGGGUUUCAGCUUGCAUGAUGAAGAUGGGCAGAGCAUUCCCCGCAUGCCUCCUCCUCCUCACACUCGUUGUCUGUCUUCCGGGUUCCGCCAACGGCCUCGUCAGGAUUGGGCUGAAGAAGAGGCCGCUGGACCGGAACGGCCGGCUCGCUGCGCGGCUGUCUCACCCGGAGGAGCUCGGUGUCCUAGCCGCUCGUAAGUAUGGCCCCCUCCUCCGCGACAGUCUCGGUCUUGAGCACGGCCCGGACGGACCGGCGGAGCCGGACGACGGCAACAUUGUCGCCCUCAAGAACUACAUGAACGCUCAGUACUUCGGGGAGAUUGGGAUCGGUUCUCCGCCGCAGAACUUCACGGUCGUCUUCGACACCGGGAGCUCCAAUUUGUGGGUUCCGUCCUCCAAAUGCUAUUUCUCGGUGAGCCAACUCACAAUACUGAUUGAUUUGAGGAAAGUCAUGAAGGGAAUAAUUAUGGUGGUUUUGGUUGCGCAGGUCGCCUGUUUCUUCCAUGCCAAAUACAAAUCGGGCCGGUCGAGCACCUAUCAGAAGAAUGGUUCGUCUCUAUUUUUGUUUAUCUAUCCACUGGCAGGAUCUUGAUAUCAUAAUCAACGUCAUUUUUAUUCUAUUGGUAGUUGGAACAAAUAGUCAUCACAAGUAUUUGGUAAUCAAUUCCACUAUACAUAUAAUUCCUUACAAAAUGAAAUAUCUAUAACUUCAUUUACUUCUGAAACCUCACAUGUAAUCUUUGCUGACAUGUCUUAAUAUUUAUUUAAAUGGUUGAUGCAACAAAUAGCCAUUGCAAUUACCUGGGAUCUGAUUCCAAUAUAGCUGACUUCUCAUAAGAUAAGUUUCAAUAACUUCAGACACUCCUGCAUCAUGCUUGAGUAGAAAUUUGGAAUCCGUCAAUGAUACAUGUUUGUUUGUUGUGUGGAUAUCACUGGUUUAGAUUUACCACAUGCAUGCUCAUACUCUUGUUCUUAAAGGUCAGAUCUAAGUGAACCAAUUAUUACUUAUUUUUAGUUAACAGAACUUCAAAUAGUAUUAUUUUUCAUUCAACAACUAACCCUCGAGUUUUCAGAUCUGUGAGGUCGAUUUCAAUAUGUUCUAUAAUAACAGUGUUUUUUUACUUAUAUUUUAUGAUUUUAAAAGGCCAGAUCUUUGUGACUGGCAAUUUUUACCUGUUAAUUUUUCAUCACUGCUGGCCACUCAUAUAGGAUAGUCUUCAUUAAGCAAAGAAAGGGACAGAAGCUUGCAAGAACACGAUAAAUAUUUUGCAAUGCUUUAUACCUUCAGGUGCACUCGAACUAUAAAAUUUUCUGUUUUUCUGUGCUUCUCUGUAGAUUAUUAUCAUUUUGUAUGAUCUAUUAUAUCCUUAAUUGCAUAAUUAGUACUAGUACUUCCACUUUUACUAUUUAAUGCGUACUUUGAAGAUAUAAGAAACCAUAUUUUGAUAUGGAGGUGCCUUUUUUCUAUAUCAUGAUCGACUACCUAUUCGAUUUUAGCAAUGAUUUGAACUGUAAGAAGUUCAAGAACAUUUUCACCAAAAAAUAAUUUUAAGAAAAUAUUGAGUUAUUUAACUUAAUGUAUAGAUUCUGCCAUCUGUUCACAUGGUUAUACCUUCAUUUAGGCCUUUAAACCACCUGUGCCUUAUGGACUUCUAGAUUUUCUUAUACGGUUAUAUCUUGACUCAUCAACAUAAAUGUAGGCUUUUUUCUCAUGGCUACAUAUCAGCAUACACUAACAUUUCAGUUUGUGCUUGGAUUGACCAUCUUAAUUGGUCACAAUAGUUCCUACUCAGUCAUCAUCUUGGAUACGCAUAGCUGUCAUCAGAUAUGUAUGUGGUUAGCUGUGUCUUGGAAGUUCUUGCCGCUGUCCUCUUUGCAUAGCACAUUACACCCAUGUUCAGUAAUAAUCUGGUAUUAUCUUUAAGAUUCUUGAAUGAUUUCCUCUAUAUUUAUGUUACUUUAUAAAUUAGUGUUUUCUUUGGGAAACAAUAUUACUAAUUGUAAGAAUCUAUAAAUUUAUUGCCUUUUUCCUGAAUGUUGAAUGAACAACUUGUUUUUUUGGAGAACACUUCAAACUAAUUCUUUUUAUCUUCUUUUCAGGUAAAACUGCAAAUAUUCACUAUGGGACCGGAUCAGUAUCAGGUUUCUUUAGUCAAGAUCAUGUCACAAUUGGUGACAUUGUUAUUAAGGAUCAGGUCUGGAUCCUAUGGAAUUCCAAUCCCAGUCAAUCAUGCAAUUUUUGCCUUUAUAGUUUCUUAAUCCCAUCGCAUGACAUUGUUGCCAACAAUUAGAUAUGGAGCUUCAUAGGAUUUCAAUCUGAUGUAUUCUACCCCGUGUAGUUUUGGAAGGUUCUAUCUUGUGUAAUGGAUAGUGCAAACUCACAGUGCUGCUAUUUCAGGCCUUCAUUGAAGCCACAAGGGAGCCAAGUAUUACCUUUUUGGUGGCAAAAUUUGAUGGAAUACUUGGGCUUGGAUUUGAAGAAAUCUCAGUUGGCAACGCAGUGCCUAUAUGGUAUGCAGUGCAUAUUGAGUAAUACUGCUUGUGAUUGUCGUUAUAUGAUGGUAUUUCUCCUUUGUUUCUUUGUUUGUUCCUUUCUUAUUUUUGAACAAGAGAUUCCAAAGGCUGUUUCUUUAUGUUAUAGCUUAUAGUAAGUUGGGUUCUUUCCGAUCAGCUUAAGCAUUUAGAACAAAUGGUAACCAAGUCACUAUUAUCAUGGCUCUCCUAUUUAUCCCUAUUUGUUUAAUGUUUCACAGUGCAUUUGCCCAUAUAUGGGUCAUUGCAAAGCCCAUAAACAUUUGGCCCAUAUUUUUAUCUUGCACUUGGGUCCAUGUGUCAGCUCAAGUGCAUUGGCCCAAAUCGGACUAACAUGUGAGGGUUAUCUUAAUUGCUUUUUGUGUGCUUAACGAUAUUGGCCAAACUGUCUGUAAAAAUAAGUUGCUGCAGAUAUAUGAAAGGAAAGAAGAGCUGGAGGGAUCCACCAUCAUUACAUUUUUAACCAAUGGCAGAAAAGACCGUCAGGUUCAAGAACCAAUAACCAUUGUCAUGGAAAGUUAAUAUUUCAUAUUCUAGGCUAUGGCUAAAAACAAUCAAGAAAUGGUCUUGAUGUUCAAGAUGGUCUUAAAAUGAGUGUAUCUAUUUAAAAGACAGAAAACUAAUUAAAAUAUUGGUUUUCAAGGCUUGGUAACAUAUUGGCAAUUUGUUAAGCUUUAGCUGCUUUAUCAUACGGUUUUCCCUCUAGCUCCAGAAAAGGGAGCCGAUGGUUUUAGUUUCUUAUUUGAAGACACGUUUCUGCUUUUAUUAUCUUUUUCUUGUGACUAAGUCAGCUGCAACAGCUGUUUUUUCUGCACCAUUGACUAAACUCAACAUGCAUAUAGGCAAUAAGUUAUUUGAUGUUUAGAUGCUAUAAAGGGUAUAAAUCAACUAAAUGGAUUGGAUCAUCAAUUGCCAACUAGUUAUAAAUCUUAGGUUAGCAGAACACAUAUAUAGAAGAUGCGCUCACAAAUAUGCAUUAUGGGUGGUAUUCUCAUAUAAGGGGAACGUAGGGACCAUCAAUUUAAUUCUGUUUUAUACUGCACACUUUAAUGAAUCUAUAUUCUAUAUUUUCUAUUGUGUUAUCUAUUUGUAUGUGUGCAUGUAUGAGUGGGAGCAUGCAUAGAUGUAUUAUAUUACAUAGUGAUUCUCUAUAAUCAGUUCUUUUAAAACAAAGCAGAGGCUUACUGAAGGCGUGAAAAAUCAGUUUCUGAUCAAAAUUUAUCACUGUCUGAUGUGAACAACUUUGGAGAAAAAAUGCUCCUUGCAUGAGAGACUACAAAGAGAAAUGGAUCCCUAAUUAGUAGUCUUGUGCAAAUUUCCUAAUCAUGCCCAUUCAGGCUAUUUUAUAUCACAGUUAUGCUAUGUGACUAGUUUUUCCUCAACAGAGAUUGCCAACAACAUACCAAAACUCAUCACGCCACAAAUAUUAAUACCUUAUUAUGAUUUUUUAUUUUCAUGUGAUCAAGAAGGGGCUUUGUCAAAACUAUCGAACACUUCUAGAUUUAAUGCUUAUGCUAUUGCUUGUAAUGUUUGCAAUAGGUGUCAAAUUCCGUUCAUCAUGAUUCUAGUGCCAAAAGGAAACUGUCAAUGGAACUUUGAAAUAAAUUAAUUUUAGCUUCUUUUAUUUGACAGGUACAACAUGGUCAAUCAAAGUCUUGUUAAAGAGCCUAUAUUCUCUUUCUGGUUCAACCGGAAUGCGAAUGAAGGGGAGGGAGGUGAAAUUGUUUUUGGAGGGACUGACCGAGAGCAUUACAAAGGCGAACACGUUUACGUUCCCGUAACUAAGAAAGGCUAUUGGCAGGUUGAUUAUGGAUUUUUAUUUGAGCAUACAAGUUUUAGUCUUUCUUUCUGUUUAUGUAAUCUAUUAGUUUUCUUUUGCAGUUUGACGUGGAAGAUGUCCUUGUUGGCGGCCAAACAACUGGUAGUGCAUUCAAGUUCUUUAUUUUUUUUAACAAAAUUUAUUUUAGUGUAAAUAAAUCUUUCAUUUUAUGCUUUUUAAGCUUGGUACAUAUUUGAUUUCAGGAUUCUGUUCUGGAGGAUGUGCAGCAAUUGUGGAUUCUGGAACUUCACUGAUUGCUGGCCCAACAGUAAGUUUUGAAAAAUUACAUGUGAAGAUAUGGCAUGCCUCCCUUUAUAUCUAUUAUUGUAUUUUUAGUUUGCUCUAUAGGCAUUUUUUUUCAUCAUAUCUGUGUGAUAUAUGUACGUGAGAACUUCUUGUGAUACUUCAAAAGUCACAAUUUGCAAGCAAUUCUUUCGAGGAUGGACAAAUGCAGUCGUCAUUUUGCAGUGGCCUGUGUGCAACUUUGAUGCAUAAACAAUUAGUCUGGACCUUAUUUACAUUACUUGUUAUUCAGCAUAGCUACUUCCUAAAAGAUCUAGUAAAUUCUAUUAUCGAAUUCUUGGCUUCUUAUGCAUAAGAAACCAACAGAAACAUAUACUGUAGAAUAUGUAUUCAGGCAGUGAUUAGAAUUAGAAAGUUUGACAAAAAAAUUAUAUAGAAAAAGAUACUGAUUUCCAUUUUAGGAAAUCUGGAAAAAAAAAAUAGGAAAUAACUGACCUUUAAGCUUCUUAUGAAAUAGUUCAGCUAAUGUGCAAAAUCAUAUUGAUAACCUUUAUUCUUCAUAGUCUUGAAGCUAUAAUGUUAAUGGCCAGUUGUGAUUGCCCGUAGUGCCCUUUUUGGUUAAGACCAUAGUUUCUGAUCUGUUAUGUGCAUAAACAUGUUCUUCUUGGAUCUGAAAGUCAUAAUCCCUGUAUGCAAUCUCAUUAAAACUGGUGUAGCUAACAAGUUUUUUGAAAUUUCUUUGCAGACUGUUAUCGCAGAGGUAAACCAGAAAAUUGGAGCGGAUGGUGUUGUUAGCCAACAGUGCAAAGCAGUAGUCGCACAAUAUGGUGAAACCAUUAUGAACAUGAUAUUAGCAAAGGUUCUUACCAUUAUCCUCUACACAGAAUUCUUUUGAAGGACUUCCAUCAAAUGUUUAAGACAAAUGAUUUCAUUAAUUCUGUGGUUCCUGUCGUAGGAAGAACCAGCGAAGAUUUGUUCUAAGAUUGGUCUUUGUGCUUUCAAUGGAACUCAAGGGGUCAGGUUCGCAUCAAUAAAAUGUUCUUCUAUAUAUGUAACUCUCAGAAUAUAUUUCUUUUACUUUACUAUAUCUAUUUCUGUGUACGCAGUUUGGGCAUCAAGAGUGUGGUCGACAACCAAGUCGAAAAAUUAGAUAGUGGUCUCAGCAAUGGUAUGUGUUCCUACUGUGAAAUGGCAGUCGUAUGGAUGCAAAGUCAGCUCACGCAGAACAAGACACUAGAGCAGGUGUUGAACUACCUCGAUGAGGUGAGGUUGCAUCCGGAGACACUUUUAUUUAGCCUCGGAUGUUGUCUGUAUAUAUUUCCCUUGUUCAUUGCAGUUAUGCGAGCGAAUACCAAGUCCCAUGGGGGAAUCAGCCGUCGACUGUAAUAGUCUCUCCUCCAUGCCUGUGAUAACUUUCAAUAUUGGUGGAAGGAAUUUUGACCUCAGACCGGAGCAGGUAGAUAGUAAUUAAUGACUUUCCAUUAGAAUAAUGAAGUAUGAUUGCUCCUAUUAAAUCAAAUCAGUUCUUUUGGUUCAUUUCACUUACUAGAAUCCCACUUGAAAGGAUGUUUCCAAGGUUAGUUUUACUCUGCUGACCAUGGGAAAAGAACCACAGAUCAGACUGACGCAGCAAGCACUUAAUCUACUUGGAUUCAGAGCUCUAGAGGGGUUGAAUAAAGAUUGCUGAUGUGUGAAAGGACUGGAUGACCUGCGACUAACACUUAUCUUUUUGAUAGAAUCCAACAUCUAACAUUUAAUGCUAGAUGAUCCUAUUAUUAUCUCUAGUUGAUUGCUUUAGAUGAUCCUAUUCUAAUUAUCUCAUAUUCCCACUAUUGCUGUGGGUCUGUAGACCAGAAAACUGCAGCAAACAUACAUUUCCUUAUGAUAGAUGGGUAUGGACAUGAGAGCUUCUCUUCAGCAUCUGUGGCAGAUUAGUCCAUUUGAAACUGGGUAUCAUGGUUGCUUUGCAUCAAGCUUCAUAUGUUCAAAGGACUUGACUUGUUCUUGUGCACAACUCGAAUAAUUCCUUCUGAUCAAGCUUCAACUGUUCUUUGAAUACAAUGACCUGAUCAUCUCUAAUUUUUGCUCAUCUGUUACAGUACAUACUCAAAGUUGCCAGUGGAGGAUCUGAGCAGUGCAUCAGUGGAUUUACAGCUCUGGAUGUGCCCCAAGGUCCACUUUGGUACGCCACCUUCUCCAUAUGCUUCUACAGUACAUACUCCCGGUUGUAGCCGGAGUCAGCCUCUGAUGUAUGUGAUUCCUCCAUGGCCGCAGGGUACUCGGUGAUGUUUUCAUGGGAGCGUAUCACACUGUGUUUGACUACGGCAAUCUUAGGGUUGGAUUCGCGGAAGCAGCUUAAAGAUGGUUAAUUAUGUUGAAGUAUAUGCACCAUAUUAUAUAUGGGUAUGUGAGUAUGUUUCUGGGCUCUACUGUUCCUGCUUAUCUUAGUGACACUACGAUAUGACAUCCUAUGCCAUUAUUCUGGAACAACAACAAGAGAUGUAGAUAAGGUGGCCCCCUUGUAUAAAAGCUGAUGUGGAUAUGAUCCACCAAGCUUAUCCUCCCUUCAACUCUCCACUGCAUGCUUAAGCUUAGCCUCCCACGACACGUAAACCGCGUGGCGAAGCUGCUGUCAUCGGCAUACUACUAAGUCAUAGUGUACCAACUACAUGUCGCCGGACAAGAUGGUUUGCUACGGCAAGGCUUAGGGCUUUUACUGUUUGCAUUCAUGCAUGCAAUAAUGAAUGGGGAGUGGAGGGGAGCUGUCACGGUCAUGCAUCUAAAGCUGGUCUUCCUCUUGAAGCUUGCUUGACACGAUAAACCAUGAAGAACGAACGAGGAGGGAGGGUAGGAGGAGUUGGUGCUGAUUUGUUGGCUGCUUGCAGUUGUUUUAGAAUGCCUGCUUGUGAUAGACAGUGCUUACACCUAAUCUGAUUGAUCAGCAUUCCGGAAUAAAAUACACCCACACGUGUAGCUUCCGAUGGUGUGAUUUCGGUGGAUGUGAUGGCUUUGGCUUCAUGGGAUUUAAAUUCAUUCGAUUGACCCUCAUAGAGCCAAAGCAAAAGUACAAGCGAACAAUCCAUUACUAAAUCAAUAGCAUCCAUGUCAUGGCAUGAAAACGUUUUUUUUUUUUUUUACAAAUAUAAUUGAUUAAAAAAAAAUUGGAUCCUACGAGCCUCUAGCCACCUAAGUCGUCUCCGUAGGUCGGCUUGCACAGUUAGCCACACCUCCACCCCGUCAAUCAUCUCCAUUCAUCUCGAACAAUCACCUACGACGCCUUUGGCCUCCUCCAUACAUAGGUUUACCUACCAUCUACUUAUCUUCCUUGUCCCACCCUCUACUAUCACUCAUGGCCCCCUCCUUCCUCGUUCACCAUCGUUAACCUUCCUUCUUUACCUACGUUCUCCUCCUUCCUGGUAAGCAUGGACAAUACGUAGAUUGAAUUGUGGAGCUAACAUGACUAGAUUGGAGUGGUCGAUGUGUGGAGGCAACCAAUGAUCAAGCGACUACCGAUAAAGAUGACCAAGAUAAAAUCAUUAAUCAUAAAAAAAAAACUUGGCAAAAAUUCUUUAAAAUCAGAUUAUUUUUUUUUAUUCGUCCCAAGAAUAAUCUUAUCAUAUGUGACUAGAAGCUUACGUAUUGUUAACAUCAUAAAUAAAAAAAUCAUAAAAAGAAUAACCUUAUCGUGAUGCCAGUACUUUAACUUGUAGCGGUCUAAAAUAUUGUUUGGGUAAAACACAGUGGACAAAAAAAAGCCUAGGGAUUCAAGGUUGGAGAACAAGAAUGGAAACCAGCUGCAAGUCUAAAUCCAGUAGAAGACGGCACCGGAUGCAGUGACCGGCGACCUACUACAUCGGCCCAUCACAUCAGCCUAACUGGUACUCCAUGCCGCACAUUUUUAUAAGCUGAAACCUUCUCCCUCUUGCCUCUUGAAGUCACCGCGGUACGAAGAACAAUUAAUACGACGAGAGACGCAGCGAUUGCCAAAUAUUCAACGUGGCGAUCAGGUAGAGAAAUCUGCUCCAAUCAAGCCCAGUAAUACGCAGAACAACACUCUUUUGAUGCUUUGCUAGCUUCCAUGAAACGAUACUAGCAAUGGAAUCUGCAGGGGGAAUUAAUGGCGAGAAGAAGAGGGUGAGGGCUGCUGACGAAGGCGAUGAUAGUAACCGUGGAAAGCGAGUCUUACUCGGUUCAUUAAGUAUUUGCUACCACCGGCAAACGAAGGUCACCGGAUACCCGUCUCAUCACGUUAACUCGGUUGUUGCAAUGGUUGGAAAUGCUCACUGCACAUGAUAGAAAACUCCACACAAUAAACAAAAGAGACCAACGAGAAGAAGAGAGAGAGAGAGACUUCAGAUAAUUGACCUAAUAAGUCAGAUGGAUCCAUCAAACGUGCAAUUUGCAUCGUUAAGAGACGCAUUUUUCUACGUGGUUUCUUGGAAGGUCGUGUAUUCACGUGAUCUUAUCAUUAUAAUAUAUCAGUCAAUUCUUAUAUAUAUAUAUAUAUCCUCUUUGUCCCAACUACUAUUUCUUUGAAGCUUCUUCCUCCCUUCAGGCUCUUACAACACACACCUUGCGGUCCUUCCUUUCCUUAUUGUAUUAUAUUGAGAUCGUCAUAUAACAAGAGGUGGAGUUCUCAGGGAAUUCACAUCUCAAGAAAGUCUUGAGAUGUAGACGGUGCUUCUUCUCAUCUCUCACGGCACAAAGACUGGUCCAACAUAUCAGCGCAACCAGGCGUUUUGCUGACGGAAGUAGACCGAGAAACCAUUUCGUAUUCACAUGCAUAUCCUGAUCGAAUGGACCGGAGGCAAGACCUUCAAGUUAGGGGUCUUCUUUGUCCAACGCCGUCGUUGAAGUUGCAGAAAAGGCCACCGCAGCUGCUCUUAUUUUCUCGUUGGUUUCUGUGACCCAUUAAGCGUUCUGUUUCACGUUCAAACUGUGUGCUUCUCGGUAAUUGAUGUCGGAGCUUUUCAGCCGCGUCGGUGAGCUGGUGGAACCAUUGUGCUCUCUCGUGUUGCUCCGUUGCUCCGCAGUCUAAGGAGUACACAUCAAGACGAAUUGACCAAAGUCGGCA